GUUGAGGGGAAUGCUGUCUGGUUCGAGACCAUUCUCUGGACUUAACUGUUUUGUUAUCUGGGAAUGAAUGAUUUCGGACCAGGCUUCAUUCCCCCCAAC
rnacentral:pre_miRNA from 1 species